AUGUGCAGCGGCCAGCGCACCGGCUCCUGCCCUCGCCGCGGCCUCUGCCAGGACCCCGACACCCCGCCCGACCCUACCCUCAAGCGGGGCUGCGGCCUCACCGUCUGCAACAGCCGCUCCGUCCGGCAUUUGGCGUGCUCCCCGGGGCAGAGGCCGCGGUGUCCUCAGGCUGUGGCACCAGCCUGCGACCCCCACGCCCGGCUCCGGCCCAGGAGGAGGAGGGCGCUGCUCCCCGGGUAGGGCGACCGGUCACCUGGGCCGGGAGGGCGGCGCAGGGGCGGAAGCGGCUGUCCGGGCUGCUGCUUUGGACUUCUCCGCCCUCUGGCCGGCCCGGCCGCGUCGCCCAGGGCUCCAGGGCCGCCUGGCGCCACCCUCUCCCAGCGCCGCGGUCCCUCCGGUACCUCCCUGGCGGCUGCGGAGCCCUCCUGGGACAGGGUCCAUAAACUCUCUAGAGCGGGAAGUCGCGCAGUCGCGGGGCCGUCACGGGGACCGCUCGAGAUCCGAGCCCACUGGGUGCCCCGGACCCUUCUCUCGCCGGCCCGGCCCCGCGCCCAGACCUAGCGGCCGCUGGCGCCUGGCCCGCUGCGUGGGUCUUCGGUGAGCUAGCUGCCCACCCAGUGCUGCGGCCUCGGCUCCCGCAUGCGCGCUCUGGUGGUUCCUUGCUAGGGGCGACCCUGUGGGCCAGCUUCCCACGCCCGGUCCCCAGGCCGCGCCCAACCCGGCUCCCUGGGCUAGGGUACUGGCUCCUCCUGGGGGCCGUGGGACUGGGAGGCAGGGGCGUUAAGGGAGACGGUGGGACCGAGGGCAGCCCCUGCUGAGUGCACCGCGAGGUCGAGCGCAGGCCUCUGUUGCACAGUGCGCGGCUUUUGCUGGGACUGUGCUGGGGCUCAGAGGGUGGUAUCAGUGCCAGAGGCGAUGUCAGGGAGGCUUCACCAAGAAGAAGCCGCGGAGCUGACCCCUGGGGUGUGAGCAGGUCUUCUUCAGGUGGAAGAGGGCAGGACCGAAUUGCAGGUGGAGUCAACUGUGUUUUCGCACACCUGGGGGGUGAAGGGGACGCAGUCUGUCUACCUGACCCGUGAAAUGUAGGAGACUGUACCCCAGAAGCAGCGGGUUUACUGCUGCAUUGAUUAACCAAGUCUGGAACAAACAUGUAGCUAAGCUGCGAGUUCUGUGCCAGUGGUCCCAACACCCACUCCCCCAGGAAAACACAGCUUUGGAGGUUGGGUGCUUGUCAGGCCUCAGAAUGGAGAGCAGGGGCCAGAGACACCAAGCAGGGGGAACCCACCCUAGGCCUCUUGAGGGACGACGAUGUGGGGAGCUGGUGGCAGAGCCUGAGCUGGCCCGAGGUUGCAUGGUGGGGACAGAUUCGAGGCAUAGUAGGGACUGGUGACCUCAGUUCCCAGAAUGUCCCAGCCUGGCCUCCUGGUCCAGCUAGCAAGUAGUGGGUGCUGCCCUGCAAAGACUCUGGGGGUGCCUGGGCCCCCCCUCACCAAACUUGACUGGUGACUUCUGUGUUCAUCCUCACAAGAAGAGGGAUUUUCUCUCACUUUCAGGCAAGCCCAGGAAAGUCAGGGGCCUAUGUGAGCCAAAGAGGAGAGAAGGCGAUGCUUUAGCCCAUUGUUUCUGCCCCGCCUGGUUUGUGGCCUUGGGGACUUGAUUUGCACCACAGGAUAAAGGGCAAUGAAAGCCCCUCCCUGACUGGCUUCUCACUCCACUCUGACCAGCCCAUUGCACAGCGCCCACCCUGCAGCUCCAGGUACAGCCUGUGCACCUGCAGCUCCAGGUACAGAGGCUGGGCUGGUUCUGGGCUGACCUCAGGGCCUUCUGAUGGUUGCAACCCUCAGGAUGCCUCAUGCUCACCCCUUGGCACCCACCUGACAGCUCAGCAUGUCUGCUAUAUGCCAUCCUCAAUGCCUGCUCUAGACAAGCCCAAGUCCCCCAGGAGUGGCAGAGGGAACUGAGCUGGGAACUAAGUCCCAGCUCACUGAACCCCAAGUGGGCCUCCCACUUUAGGUCACAGCCCCAGGCAAGUUCCCUUCAGGGAUGUGAUCCCAGGGGCCACAGCAGCACGUUCUGGCCUAACCUAUUCACUACUCAAUUAGUUACUGAACAGGCCAGGAUGGGCAUGGGCCCUGACAUUAAUCCCCUUUCUCUGUGAGGGGGCUGGAUUGGGUUUGCCAUCCUGAUGUCUUUGUGGAAAGAGCUGGCAGGUGGAGCAAGUCUCAGGGGCCAGCCAUAGGACAGGGAACCUAGGAUUCGCCUCUGCUGGAACCCUGUGAGGCCCCUGCAGGCAGGAGGGUCCAAUGGAGGUCCAGGCACCUCUCCCAGCUUGGUGUUCACAGCUCCUCCCUGGCCCACUCCCUCUACACUUGCACCUGCUGGUCUCUGGGAGGAGAGCAUCCAUCCAUCUUCUGCAUGUAGCUUUCUGCUGCAUUUCCAUGAGGAUGGUCUCCUUGAUAGAAUGCCCAGCAGGGUGUCCUGAGCCUGUGCUGGCUGUUCUCUAAGUGCCAAGUCAGUGAGAGGGACUUGAAAACUCAAGACUUAUUAACAUUAUUUUCUGGUAAAGUGCAGAAAAAUAAAAAAAAUAAAAAUAAAAACCCUGCUUUCAGGGUUUUUUCCUUAAAAUGUGUAAAAACAAAUAUUGAAAUUUCUAUCUUUUAUAUAAUUUGGAUUCUGUCAUCACAUGGACCUUUCAUUUUCCUGAAAUUUAUUUUUAUAUAUGUAUAUCAAACAUUGAAUUUUUAUUUUCUUCUUUACUGAAAUUGUUAACCGUUUUAGAGGCCAAUUUUUUUUAAAAAAAAAUCAUACUUCACAAACAUUAAUAAAAUGUAGGAAUUUAUUUAUAAUGUUAUUAUACUUUUUUCUUUCUUUUUUUUUUUUUUUUUUGAGACAGUCUCGCUCUGUCACCCAGGCUGGAGUG
rnacentral:lncRNA from 1 species